rnacentral:snoRNA from 1 species
AAACUAUGGUGUGGACAGCUCAUCAGUAGAUCCUUGAAACGUUCCCAACAAUCAUACAGAGUCUCGUUCUCUUGCUGAAGAAACCCUGUUAUGUCAUUCCUCAACUU